rnacentral:rRNA from 1 species
UACGUAGGUGGCAAGCGUUGUCCGGAUUUACUGGGCGUAAAGGGCGUGCAGGCGGUCUGUUAAGUCUAGGGUGAAAGCUCCCGGCUCAACUGGGAGAGGUCCUUGGAUACUGGCGGACUUGAGGGAGGCAGAGGAAAGUGGAAUUCCCGGUGUAGUGGUGAUAUGCGUAGAUAUCAGGAGGAACACCGAUGGCGAAGGCAGGUCUCUGGGCUGACACUGACGCUCAUGCACGAAAGCGUGGGGAGCAAACAGG